AAAAUGAAAACUUUCCAAAAAUAGCAGCUUUUAUGAAAAUUAUUUAAAAAUACAAUCUAUUGAUGAAAAACUCUGAAAGAAUAUUCAUAUAUCCACAAAUAUUCUUGUUAUCACAAUUUCUAAAUCACAAACUCGUAGCUAUAAAAUUUCUCAAAAAAAUGAAAACUUUCCAAAAAUAGCAGCUUUUAAAAAAUUAUUUAAAAAUACAACUUAUUCAUGAAAAUCUCUCAAAGAAUAAUCAUUUAUUCAUGAAGAGGCGGGCCUUCUACGCCUUACAAAAGAGGCGAGUUUAUACUUUUCUUUUUUUUUUUAAUUUGCCUUAAGAGGCGUCAUUAAAGCUUGCGUAAUGAUUGUCUUAUUUGUAGAUACUAAGGAGGUGUUAUUGGUUUAUAUAUUUUCAUUGAUUUAAAAAUCCAUAUAGUAUUUAUAAAUCUAAGUAAAAUAUACAAAUUUUUAAAUUUUCUCGGAUUAGUAUUUACAAAUCCGAAGGUUUUCCUUCGGAUUUGGGCCUUUGUAUUUUUCACAAAGAAAUCCAUACAGAUCCAUUCAAAUACAUUAUGAAAUUAAAUCUAUUAGUAAAGCCGUAUGAUUGAAUAACACUUGAUUUGAAUUAGAAUUUAUGAAUCAUUAAACGAAUAACACUUGAUUUGAAUUAGAAUUUAUGAAUCAUUAAACGAAUAACACAUGAUUUCAAUACAUAUUUUAAAAUCAUAAAACCAAUAACACUAGAUUUAGUUUGGAUUUUCAAAUCCAUCAAAAUACACCAACCAAUAACCCCCCCCCCCCCCCCCCCCUAACUAAUAAAGGUGCUCUAGUGAGCAAACUAAAACGGGCCGAAUUAUUUAUCUCUGGCCCAUUGUAAUAACUCCGCAAGCCCGUUAAAUGGGAAACCCUAGAUGGCGAGAAGGAUCUCCGCUCCCAUAUAUAAAUAAUAACGAUGAACUCCAAUUUUGAAAGUACAACCUAUCUAACACUUUCAUCAGCAGCAGCUUCCAUCCUCGUCUAAAUCACUUUUGAGGGGUGUUUUUGUAAUGGGAUGAAACAGUGAUGAGAUACUAGCAGACGGGCGGUCUGAAUUGAUGCCGUGUAGAUUGUCUGCCACCGCUACAACUUUAGUAGCAUUCUCUGAGUUUUUUUAUCCUUUUUUUUUCGUGAUUUAUGUUGCAGUUUGAUGAUUUUUGCGAUGAUGAAUUUGCUUCUAAUUUAUGUCUGGACAUAUGAGAUUAUUCAAUCUUUGAUAUGAUUGGUGCAAAUUUUCUGAGCUUAUUUUCGGUUUUUAUUUCAUUGAUUCCAGUUUUUUUAUAAUCAAGUAGUAAAUGUAGGCUUUUGGUAAAAGUAAGUGUUGUCUCAAUGUCGGUUUUGUUACUCAUCUGUCAUCACAGUAGUUUCACAACAACUCUCUUGAUGGUCUAAAGCUAUAUGUGGAUUCUCGUCUGGCCACGGUUCCUGUGACUUCAAGAUACUGAUAGUGGUAGUUCGAAUCAGUUUCAGAGUUGUUGGGUGUUUUAGAAUCAGAUGAUCAGCAAGAACUACAGCUGAUCAUACAACUUCGGAGAAGAAUUUCAUCAAGAUAUAGGAAGCAUUGAAUAGCAAAACAUAGAGGGUCUGAGAUGAUGAAAGGCAAGAUUGGUGAUUGUGGUGCAUCAGCUUUUACAGUAGUGCAAUGAAGUUAGUUGUAACAGUUGUUAGCGAAGAGGACUAGUGAACAUUUGUGGAGGAUAUGAAUGGUAUAUGUGAAGACGUUUGUUGUGGUCUUUUUACUGAUGUAUGUUUGUUGUACAAUUACCUGAAAAAAUACAUAAAUCUAAACCCCUGGAUCCAAAA